UACAGAGGGUGCGAGCGUUAAUCGGAAUUACUGGGCGUAAAGCGCGCGUAGGCGGCUUUGCAAGUCGGGUGUGAAAUCCCCAGGCUUAACCUGGGAACUGCAUUCGAGACUGCAUUGCUAGAGUAUGGGAGAGGGAAGUGGAACGUUUCCGGUGUAGCGGUGAAAUGCGUAGAUAUCGGAAGGAACAUCAGUGGCGAAAGCGACUUCCUGGACCAAUACUGACGCUCAUGUGCGAAAGCGUGGGGAGCAAACAGGAUUGAGA
rnacentral:rRNA from 1 species